CUCGUGAAGGGGCAAAAUACUCCAGCUGUGGAGGAAACCAGGGAUGAGUGAACAAGUCAUAAAUGGCGCGAGUCUUAUCUGCCCUCAGCCUUAAGCGCUGGCUCCUGAUAAACUAUUCAUGGCCCCUAAGUGAGAUUUGUUACCAGUGGAGGGAGUGAAACGAGACAUGAGUAGUUCCCCUAUACAAGACUGCUGUAUAAGAAAGUGUAAUUAUCUUAGAAUAAUUAUUGUGUAGUUAUUUUAUUGUCCAUCGGAGGGCAGCGAGGGUGAUUGGGAGACUGGAGAAUCUCACUUACGAAGGAAGGCUGAGGGAGCUGGGCCUGUUCAGCCUCCCGAAGAGACGAUUGAGAUGGGACCCCAUCAAUGCCUGUUCUGCGAGCCUUGAGAAUGGGAAGUUCUUCAGCAUCAGUCCCAGAAGUUCCUGCUCAUUUGGCAGCUCCCACAGUAUCAUCACUGCUGAAGAUCAGGAGGUCUGUUCCAGUAACUGCUGUAAAGGUGAUAUGAAGUUUGUUAUAAAACACAGCCAAAGUGGUUCCCAACAAGCAGUGCAGGUGGGUAGGUGGGCACAUGGGGAGGAGGUGGCACAGAGGUUCUCGGAGCUCUGCUGGACCUCAUGUCACUGUUCCUUCAUAAAAGAGCCUUCCUGGAAGCAGUAAUUUUUGCCCAGGAAUGUCAGAUAUGCCAUCUAUUGCAGAGAGCAAAAGGAGAGCAACAAGUGCCAAAGUCUGAAGGGUCAUUCUCAUCUGGCUGUUGUUAUUAAAAAAUAUGGAAUAAAGCAGGUUGGGGGAAGAAGAAUUUUCCUACCUUUGGCCUAACCUACAGACCACAUAAAGGGCACUGCAAUUCAGAGGUCCUCACAGACAAACUUUUACCCGAGGACUGCCUGGACCACUUCUGCUUCGAGAAUCAGACUCAGAAGUCCUUGAGCUGGACCGAGAGCUGUCUUCUUCCUCUGAUCCUGAUGAUUCAUCUAUAAAUGGGCUGUUGCUUAUUUGAGUUGCUUUCUGCACAAAUGAACACAACAUUCUUUGAUACCUUGCAUAAAGGCUAUCAGUCAUUUCCUUCAUACUGUGUCAGAGCUCUGUUGGCUUCAUAAUAUUCAAAGCUGUUUCUUGCUUGGGUUGUGAGUUUUGGCACACAAAUACUAACAUGAAACUGAAUUCCCUCUGCCCUCUGUAUACUCAAACACACCCACACUUUAAAACAGAAACCUGAGGUAGCUCAAGGCAUGGGUCUUUCCAAAUCACAAAAGACUGUCAGAAACAAACAAUGCUGCGAUUACUUACUGCUGGUUUUGUGACUACAAACAGCUUUGGCACUGACACAAAGAAUUUCUACAUACACAUGCUUUUAAUUAUGACAUUGAACACCAUGUGGUUCUGUUUAAUAAUUAACAAGCCUUUGGAAAAAAUCAGCAAGGAACCUAAGAAGAACUGACCUAGGCUAGUAACAUUUCAUAAGCAGUAUUUUUUUCCCCAGCUAUUUGACAUUUCUAUUACUUCUGGGGUUCUGUGAUCUCUAAACAUCAAUGUACAACAUAUUUGGCAUGGUAGUAUCAAAUGUAAAACAGUAAGUUCCUGGAUAUGAAGCCUCAUGGUAUUUAAAUAUUUCCUUUAAACAGUAAUACAGUUACCCCUUUCAAAGUGGUAUAGACAGGAGUGGUCAUGUUCUUAUAUAUCAGGGAUGUAUAUAAUCCGGAUAUGGAGCAUGAAGUUAGUGAAACAGCACCUAAAAAAGCAACAUAUUCUAUAAAUUACCUUCUUAAUUUACUCCUCAAUUAACCAAAUUCAAAUGUGAUUUUUUUUGGUGUUAACUGCUAUAAAAAGCAAACUAACUCCCAAACUGUUUUAGAUGGGAGAUUUAUAACCUUUUAAAAUUUACAAUGGUUUUAAGAAGCAUAAAUAAAACUGCAGUAAUGAGCACUAUUCCUUUUUGAAUUGGAAGUAUAAGCUCUUACCUUGGUACCUCGUAUAGAAUAUUCAAAAGAAUUGCAAAGUAAAGUGGAGUGAACAAUGCACAAAUUCAGCACAAAAUCAAGAGGUAAGGUAGACUAUGGAAAGAUAACCAAUAAUCUAGGUUUUAAAUAACUGAUAACUAAAUCUUCAUAAAAUUAUUUUAGAAGUCCUUGCUUACACAUCAACAUAAGAAUAGGAUUUUUUUUGAUGAGACAAUGAACAACUAAACCACUUACUUUUAUUACGAGAUUCCAGGGUCAAAGCUUCAGACAUCCUUAAACCAGAUUUGGCUACAGCAUAAAUUCUGCUUUCCUAUACAAGCAGAAUGGAUUUGAUGGUACAUAAUUAAAACACAACAAAUACUUUUCUUCUGUUUAGCCUCCUAGUCUUUGUGUUAGUGCAACUAUAUGCUAAAAUGGGUCACAGAAUGACAGCAGCUGAAAAAUGCAUCCUUCUUUUAUAUGCCAUACCCAUCAUAUUCAUAGUCUGUUUCAACAUUUUUCAUACAAUGCUUGCCCUGUAGGUAACUUAGUUUUAAAAAUACUAUUAUCAGGUGCCAAGGAAGCUAUAGUAAGAAUGUUUUUUAAUGGAAGAUUGCGAGUUAAGAACAGAGAAAUGCCAUUAAAAGACAGUUUUUCAAUCAUUUUGUGUUAGAAGACUACAAUAAGAAAAUCUGUAAAGAAAAAAAUGCACUAAAAUAUAUACAUAGAAAAGCUGUUACAUUAAUGCAUUAUUCAUCUCUGAAUCAUUAAUAAAUCUCUGACACUGGAACCGCAGAA